GCAACGGUGGUUCAGUGGUAGAAUUCUCGCCUUCCAUGUGGGAAACUUAGGUUUGAUUCCCGACCACCGCA
rnacentral:tRNA from 1 species